UUAGACAUCCUUGUUCAGUUUGAUUAGACAUCCUUGUUCAGUUUGAUUAGACAUCCUUGUUCAGUUUGAUUAGACAUCCUUGUUGAGUUUGAUUAGACAUCCUAGUUCAGUUUGAUUAGACAUCCUAGUUCAGUUUGAUUCGACAUCCUUGUUCAGUUUGAUUAGACAUCCUUGUUGAGUUUGAUUAGACAUCCUUGUUCAGUUUGAUUAGACAUCCUUGUUCAGUUUGAUUAGACAUCCUUGUUCAGUUUGAUUAGAUAUCCUUGUUCAGUUUGAUUAGACAUCCUUGUUCCGUUUGAUUAGACAUCCUUGUUCAGUUUGAUUCGACAUCCUUGUUCAGUUUGAUUAGACAUCCUUGUUGAGUUUUAACAGACAUCUUUGUUUAGUUUUGUUUCAUCCACAAUCUUCGUCUUUACUCAGCAAUAUGCAGUGUCCUUAGCUGACUGACUGACAGUCUGUUUCUGCUAUGUCGUGCUUCGUCACUCAUUGCCUUGUUAGGAUUGACAGGUACAGGGUAGUCAAGGGCAUCAACAGAUCUGGGACCAGGCUACAGUUUCUUCACUUAUAGAACAAGUACAGGGUAGUCAAGGGCAUCAACAGAUCUGGGACCAGGCUACAGUUUCUUCACUUAUAGAACAAGGAGAUGAGUGAAACUCCACUCCACAACAAAUCACAAACCGAAAACAACCUCAGACAUGUACCUUAAGAAAUACUUUACUUUGACAGCAGUACAAUCCAUAGUGCUUGAGCAUCUAGAGCAUCUCCAGCCCUGUUCCAAGAGAGAAGCCCUCCUGUAGGUUGUUAACUCCAUCCCUGUUCCUGGAGAGAAACCCUCCUGUAGGUUUUAACUCCAACCCUGUUCCCGGAGAGAAGCCCUCCUGUAGGUUUUAACUCCAGCCCUGUUCCAAGAGAGAAGCCCUCCUGUAGGUUUUAACUCCAACCCUGUUCCCGGAGAGAAACCCUCCUGGAGGUUUUUAACUCCAACCCUGUUCCCGGAGAGAAACCCUCCUGUAGGUUUUAACUCCAACCCUGUUCCCGGAGAGAAACCCUCCUGGAGGUUUUUAACUCCAACCCUGUUCCUGGAGAGAAACCCUCCUGUAGGUUUUAACUCCAACCCUGUUCCCGGAGAGAAACCCUCCUGGAGGUUUUUAACUCCAACCCUGUUCCUGGAGAGAAACCCUCCUGUAGGUUUUAACUCCAACCCUGUUCCCGGAGAGAAACCCUCCUGGAGGUUUUUAACUCCAACCCUGUUCCUGGAGAGAAACCCUCCUGUAGGUUUUAACUCCAACCCUGUUCCCGGAGAGAAACCCUCCUGUAGGUUGUUAACUCCAACCCUGUUCCUGGAGAGAAACCCUCCUGUAGGUUUUAACUCCAAUCCUGUUCCCGGAGAGAAACCCUCCUGUAGGUUUUUAACUCCAACCCUGUUCCUGGAGAGAAACCCUCCUGUAGGUUUUUAACUCCAACCCUGUUCCUGGAGAGAAACCCUCCUGUAGGUUUUAACUCCAUCCCUGUUCCUGGAGAGAAACCCUCCUGUAGGUUUUUAACUCCAACCCUGUUCCUGGAGAGAAACCCUCCUGUAGGUUUUUAACUCCAACCCUGUUCCUGGAGAGAAACCCUCCUGUAGGUUUUAACUCCAACCCUCUUCCUGGAGAGAAACCCUCCUGUAGGUUUUUAACUCCAACCCUGUUCCUGGAGAGAAACCCUCCUGUAGGUUUUUAACUCCAACCCUGUUCCUGGAGAGAAACCCUCCUGUAGGUUUUAACUCCAACCCUGUUCCUGGAGAGAAACCCUCCUGUAGGUUUACACUCCAACCCUGUUCCUGGAGAGAAACCCUCCUGUAGGUUUUAACUCCCAACCCUGUUCCUGGAGAGAAACCCUCCUGUAGGUUUUAACUCCAUCCCUGUUCCUGGAGAGAAACCCUCCUGUAGGUUUUAACUCCAACCCUGUUCCUGGAGAGAAACCCUCCUGUAGGUUUUUAACUCCAACCCUGUUCCUGGAGAGAAACCCUCCUGUAGGUUUUAACUCCAACCCUGUUCCUGGAGAGAAACCCUCCUGUAGGUUUUAACUCCAACCCUGUUCCCGGAGAGAAACCCUCCUGUAGGUUUUAACUCCAACCCUGUUCCCGGAGAGAAACCCUCCUGUAGGUUUACACUCCAACCCUGUUCCCGGAGAGAAACCCUCCUGUAGGUUUUAACUCCAACCCUGUUCCUGGAGAGAAACCCUCCUGUGGAACCCUGAAUAUUCUAUAUUUCCUGUCCUGUUGUUCUGGGUACUAAUGUAGGUUGAUGUAUUGUGGACCAAAGGGCCUUUGGAAAGCAUGAUGGAACCAUGGUAGGAAAUACAACACUCCUCUAUGCACCCUGACAGGAUAUAGACUCAGACAACACAUCAAUAUUCACACUGACAGGUUAAAUAGACUCAGACAACACAUCAAUAUUCACACUGACAGGUGAAAUAGACUCAGACAACACAUCAAUAUUCACACUGACAGGUUAAAUAGACUCAGACAACACAUCAAUAUUCACACUGACAGGUUAAAUAGACUCAGACAACACAUCAAUAUUCACACUGACAGGAUAAAUAGACUCAGACAACACAUCAAUAUUCACACUGACAGGUUAAAUAGACUCAGACAACACAUCAAUAUUCACACUGACAGGAUAAAUAGACUCAGACAACACAUCAAUAUUCACACUGACAGGAUAAAUAGACUCAGACAACACAUCAAUAUUCACACUGACAGGUUAAAUAGACUCAGACAACACAUCAAUAUUCACACUGACAGGUUAAAUAGACUCAGACAACACAUCAAUAUUCACACUGACAGGUUAAAUAGACUCAGACAACACAUCAAUAUUCACACUGACAGGUUAAAUAGACUCAGACAACACAUCAAUAUUCACACUGACAGGUUAAAUAGACUCAGACAACACAUCAAUAUUCACACUGACAGGUUAAAUAGACUCAGACAACACAUCAAUAUUCACACUGACAGGUUAAAUAGACAGACAACACAUCAAUAUUCACACUGACAGGUUAAAUAGACUCAGACAACACAUCAAUAUUCACACUGACAGGUUAAAUAGACUCAGACAACACAUCAAUAUUCACACUGACAGGUUAAAUAGACUCAGACAACACAUCAAUAUUCACACUGACAGGUUAAAUAGACUCAGACAACAUACCAGAGUAGGGUGAAUGAUAAGAAUACUUUCUGCCUUCUCACACACACACACACACACACACACACACACACACACACACACACACACACACACACACACACACACACACACACACACACACACACACACAUAUACUCCAAUCAGCAUCCUCAUUCAUCCCUGUCGCUGAAGAGAUGCCCACGUAUUAUCCUGACAUUGAGAGCUCUCAUGGGGUGGAUCUGUGCAACAGGUGCUCAGGACGUUUUGGGGGGGGGCACACACCACUUCCUCCCAUCCCAGCAAUGCACUCUGGGAUCUGUAGUAGCAUACAUAUACAUAUUAUGAAUGCAUUUUUUUUCCUCCUUCCUAAUGUUCCAAAUGUAUUUUUGUAUAAUUUAUUAAGGGACAUUGUCCACCCUAACUGGUGAUUAAAUAAAAGCCUUGUAGGCUGGGUGUUUGUUUAAUAAUCUGUAGGCUCUGCUGAGAGGGAUGUUGUUAUAUAGUAUUGCCAUCAUUUUGACUCAACUAUUAAAAUAUUCUUCCUA